rnacentral:lncRNA from 1 species
GGGGCCCUGGGAGGGUUUUUUUGGCCAGGGACAAGAGUACUUGGGUUUGCUUUCUGGAAAGGUGGAAAGAGGUUUCUGUGCUCUCUCGGCUGUGUUAAGCACUGGCAGAAGUCGCCUUUUGGGCCCUCCGCAGGGCUACGAGAGGCUGGGGAAGUGGGGGCUCAGGAGGGAGGUCAAACAGCCUGCAGACUCCGCGGCAGAGUCCGCACCCCUGGAAGGAAGCGUCAGGGAAGGCACCGCACCCACGCGUGGCUUCGAGGGCAGGAGGGAGGUUACACAGCGAGCGGCCCCCGCGGCUCUCCUUCCCUCCUUCCUUCCCGCUGGACCGGGCGCAGGUGGAGCUCGCCGUCAUCCCCCUUCAUCCCUUGGCCCCUCCAAGGCUCAAGAACUGGGAACUCGCCUGGGUGGCAGACACGCUCCCCGUCACCACGGUCACUGUCACCACGCUCCCCGUUACCAUGCUUCUGGUCACCAGCUCCCGGUCACCACGCUCCCCGUCACCAGCUCCCCGUCACCACGCUCCCAUCACCACGCUCCCCGUCACCAGCUCCCCAUCACCACGCUCCCCGUCACCACGCUCCCGGUCACCAGCUCCCCAUCACCAGCUCCCCAUCACCACGCUCCUGGUCACCACGCUCCCCGUCACCAGCUCCCCAUCACCACGCUCCUGGUCACCACGCUCCCGGUCACGAUACCCCCUGCGGGUCUCCCUGUCCCCCAUGUAGCAGAGGGGGCCGCGUGCAGUUCCCUGAGUCUUUGGAAUAUGCAGGGCACCUGUGGGGCAGUGCCACUUUGGAAAAGUUUGCACUGUUCUGGCCGGGGCUGCCAGCUUCUGAGGACACCCUGAAGCCGGCAAGGAGGGGGUCCAACCAUUUCUCGUGUAUGACCAUGCGCCACUUCCGUUCACAGAGACCCCAGCCACUCCGGGCGCCAGGUGCCAACACGCCACAUGGGCGUCUAGUAGACACAGAUGCCACAUGGGGGUCUAGUAGGACAGCGGGACCUGCAAGGAGGGUGGUGACAGUGACCGUGGUGACCCGGACCGAGUGCAGGGACCUGCCCUCCUGCUGCUACAUAAACGUUUGGGGGUGGAGGGCUCCAGAACGGGGCACCAGGCGCUCAGGAAGACCCGGUGGAACCUCCACCCCCCAGGCCCAGGGGCCGUCCUCUUUGUCAGCUGGGGGUCCUCACAGCCAGGGGUCUCUCCCCCACCAGAGCCAGAGUCCAGAACACGCUCCAGGAGCCGCGGCACGUCUGGUGCCCCAGGACCGUCUCUGGUGUCUGCAGCUCUCCUCUGGGGAGAAAAGGAUUUCUCUGCUGAACGCUCUUCCCCCACAUUAAAAUCCAGGUUGUUGAUC